GUAGGGGGCAAGCGUUGUCCGGAUUUAUUGGGCGUAAAGAGCGUGUAGGCGGCCAGGCAGGUCCGUUGUGAAAACUCGAGGCUCAACCUCGAGACGCCGAUGGAAACCAUCUGGCUAGAGUCCGGAAGAGGAGAGUGGAAUUCCCGGUGUAGCGGUGAAAUGCGCAGAUAUCGGGAAGAACACCCGUGGCUAAGGCGGCUCUCUAGUACGGUACUGACGCUGAGACGCGAAAGCGUGGGGAGCGAACAGGAUUAGAUACCCUGGUAGUCCACGCCGUAAACGAUGGGUGCUAGGUGUGGGAGGUGUCGACUCCUCCUGUGCCGAAGCUAACGCAUUAAGCACCCCGCCUGGGGAGUACGGCCGCAAGGCUA
rnacentral:rRNA from 1 species